AUAAAAGAAAAAAGCCAAAGAAAACCAAAAGGGCAACCAAAAAAAAAAAAGGGCCGAAAGAAUAAAAAAAUCAGCUUCCUUUUUUCUCCUGUUUUUUGUUAUUUUAUAAACACGUUCAUACAUCUCC
rnacentral:ribozyme from 1 species